GGAGCAUCCGCUUCCGGUUCCCAGACUGAGCUGGCGGUGAGUGGAGUCUGAGGUCGCUGUGGACUGCCCACUGGAUUGAGAAAAAUGAGGUCCUCUUUCUAGAGUACCUGGCAGGUUGCUUGGCAUCCAGAAGAUGUUUAGCUAAGGCCUUGCCCGAGAUGGACAGCCGUAUUCCUUAUGAUGACUACCCGGUGGUUUUCUUGCCUGCCUAUGAGAAUCCUCCAGCAUGGAUUCCUCCUCAUGAGAGGGUACACCACCCAGACUACAACAAUGAGUUGACCCAGUUUCUGCCCCGAACCAUCACACUGAAGAAGCCUCCUGGAGCUCAGUUGGGAUUUAACAUCCGAGGAGGAAAGGCCUCCCAGCUAGGCAUCUUCAUCUCCAAGGUGAUUCCUGACUCUGAUGCACAUAGAGCAGGACUUCAGGAAGGGGACCAAGUUCUAGCUGUGAAUGAUGUGGAUUUCCAAGAUAUUGAGCACAGCAAGGCUGUUGAGAUCCUGAAGACAGCUCGUGAAAUCAGCAUGCGUGUGCGCUUCUUUCCCUACACCUCCAGGCCAAAGCCUCCGGCCUCCAUCCAGGCCUCGUCGUGACCAAAGGCAGAUAUCGCUUCAGGCAAACUGCUAGUCUCCAAUUCAUGAGAUCAGAAUGGUUUGGACCCCAGCCCUCAGGACAACCGUUCCUGUGAGUUCCACCUGGUCACUCACCAUGAGAUGGCUUCGGAUGGAUCAGGACCAAGGGUAGCUCCACACCAACAUCGCUGCAAGGAUCCCAAGGCAUUAUUGAGCUUGCUGCAGGUCCUUAGGCCUGGAGGAGUCUCUGAACACUGCCCUAAAGACACUUUAAGAAACAGAAAAGUUUGCUGACCCCUGCCCUAGAUCAAAGAAGGUAAGUCAGAGGGGACUCAGAACCGGGCGUCACUGGUGGUGAUGAUGCUAUGGAGGUUAGAAGUGGGGCUAUUUCUGUCAUGAGAGCAGGAUCUGUUUCCUGGCAGAGGCUGGAGGCAGGGAUUUUUGGGGACAACCAAAGAAUACCUCUUGGAGACUGUCUCCUCCGGGUUUUCAGCACAGAAACUCUUCACUUCAAAGUCAAUCCCACAGGGCUGUAAAGGGACAAGGGCAAAGAGAGCUCAUUUCUAGUGCUGUCCUCCCUUCCUCAUGGGCCAAUAAGAAAAUGCCUGACCUCUUUCCUUAGCUGUCCAUUUCUCCAGUCUUGACUGUCCCACUGUUCCUCUUCCCUGGCACUACCUAUCCCUCUUUCUUAGAACCCAGUCCUCACCUUUCCUGCAUCUUCAGGACCUGGCUGCAGUGUCACAGAACAGGGCAGGUUGGUCACCAUCUAGGGGACAAAAAGGAGAUCAGAAAAGAAGUAGAAAAGAAUACAAACAAAUACAAAAGGAAUAGGGAACCCUCUCCCUUGUUGUCCUUCUUGAGCUUCCUUUCUUAAUCUUCCCUGGAGACCUUGCCUGCCCAGGGCUUGGGGUCAGUACCUGCAGGGUAAAGGGGUAGGCAUUGUCCCCUAGCUUGUGCAGCAGUCGCUCCUGUAGGACUGUGAGGGGCCCCUGAGGGCUGCUGGAUUCAGCUGGGACCACUUGCAGGGUCUGCACAUACAGAUCUUUUCGGAACGUCAGACCAAUCACUUCCAAGUCAUCACGGCCAUAGCGAAAGGCACAUGUCAACAUGACAAACACUGUGGGCAUAGGAGGAAGAGAGUGGUCUGUCAGGCCUGAGUGGGAAGGGGAAUCUUAACUGGGUCAAGAAGACACAGAGAGGUGAUGUAAUAUGAUUGAAGGCUGGCUGGGCGCAGUGGCUCACGCCUGUAAUCCCAGCACUUUGGGAGGCCGAGGCGGGUGGAUCACGAGGUCAGGAGAUAGAAACCAUCCUGGCUAACACAGUGAAACCCCGUCUCUACUAAAAAAAAAUACAAAAUAUUAACCUGGCUUGGUGGUGGGUGCCCGUAGUCCCAGCUACUUGGGAGGCUGAGGCAGGAGAAUGGCAUGAACCCAGGAGGCGGAGCUUGCAGUGAGCCGAGAUUGUGUCACUGCCCUCCAGCCUGGGUGACAGAGCAAGACUCCGUCUCAAAAAAAAAAAAAAAAAAAAGAUUGAAGGCUAUGGGCACAAAUGAAAAGAUUCUUAAUACAUUUGACUGCAGUAAGAUUUAUGUUAAAAGUCUUUAUAAACCAAGUCUUCUUUAUAUUCAAAGUCUUUAUAAACAAAGAAAAAAAUGGAAAGCCUGGGAGAAAAUCUUUGCAACACAUAUAACACACUGAAGUUUAGCGUCCAAAAUAUAUAAGGACUCCCACACAUCAACAAUAAUACCAGUAUAAAAGUGUGCAAAGAAUGUGAAUAAGCCCUUGCAGAAGUGUGCAAAGAAUGUGAAGGAAUGGCCAAUAACAUAUGAAAACAUGUUUAGUCUCAUGAGUAAUCAGAUAAAUGCAAAUUAAAACCACAAUGAGGUGAGAUUUCACACACAUCAGAUUGUCAAAAAAUUUUAAAUCUGACAACACUACGUGUUGAUGAAGAUGUGAAGCAAAAGGAGUUCUUACAUACUGCUGGCGGGAGUAUUAAUGCAACCAAUUUGGAAGACUAUUUGGGAUUAUCCAGUAAAAUUAAAUCUGCUCGUAGUGUAUGACCUAAUAAGUUGACUUUAAAGGAGCUUUUGUUCAGGAGAGAUACAUAUGGUAAUGGCCAUCGCAUCAACAUUUGUCAGAACAUAAAACUGGAGAUAAUCUAAAAAUCUAUCAACAGGAGAAUGGAUAAAAAAUGUGUGGUAUAUUCACAUAAUGGAAUACUAAACCAAGGUUAAAAUAAAUGAACUAGAACUUCAAAGAAUGCCCUAUGGUUUGUAUGUGGCCUCUCCAUAACUCAGGAGUUGAAACUUGAUGGCCAUUGUGAUGGUAUUAAGAUGGCCAUUAAGAGGUGAUUAGAUCAUGGGGCUUCUUUGUUCAUGAAUUCCUUUAUGAAUGGGAUUAAGACCCUUAUAAAGGAGACCUUUUGCCCUUCCACCAUGUGAGGACACAAUGUUUCUCCCCUCCGGAGGAUGCAGCAAUAAGGCACCAUCUUGGAAGCAGAGAGCAGCCAUCAUCAGACAACAGAACCUGCUAGAGCCUUGAUCUUGGACUUCCCAGCUUUCAGAAUUGUGAGAA